rnacentral:rRNA from 1 species
GACGUAGGUGGCGAACGUUAUCCGGAAUUAUUGGGCGUAAAGGAUGCGUAGCUGGUGUAGUAAGUUAUCGGUGGCAAAUCGAGGCUCAACCUCGUGGAAGUCGGUAAUACUGCUAUGCUAGAGGAUAGGAGAGGUUAACGGAACUCCCUGUGGGGCGGUGAAAUGCGUAGAUAUAGGGAAGAACACCAAUAAGGCGAAGGCAGUUAACUAUUCUACUCCUGACAUUGAGGCAUGAAAGCGUGGGGAGCAAAACGG